UACCUACGGGGGGCAGCAGUGAGGAAUAUUGGUCAAUGGGCGGAAGCCUGAACCAGCCAAGUCGCGUGAGGGAUUAAGGCCCUGCGGGUCGUAAACCUCUUUUGCCGGGGAGCAGAGGUCCGGACGUGUCCGGGCCGGGAGAGUACCCGGAGAAAAAGCAUCGGCUAACUCCGUGCCAGCAGCCGCGGUAAUACGGAGGAUGCGAGCGUUAUCCGGAUUUAUUGGGUUUAAAGGGUGCGUAGGCGGCGCUUCAGGUCAGCGGUGAAAUACCGGGGCUCAACCCCGGGGCUGCCGUUGAAACCGGG
rnacentral:rRNA from 1 species